AAUAUAUAUUUUGAAAUGACGUCACCUGACCUGGAGAUCCGUUGCGUAUUUUCUUUAGUGCCGCGUUCACAGUAACGUCACUUCCCUAUUUCGUUUGUUGCGUCAACACAAUAAGACGGCAAAGGCAGUACUGCACUCAAUUGCUAAACCGGGCGCGGCCGUGAAUCGACCCGCAUCAUUCCAAGGAGUUAUACCCACUUCCUCAUUAGAACUUUGAAAAUUAUGUUGAUUGUCUUUAUUUGUUUAUUUUUUAAAAAUUAUCAGCUACUACCCAAAAUCCAUCUGAGUCAGAAAAUUGAAGAGAUCUUAUCAAAUCUGAAAUACCAAGCGCUGCCAAUUCCAUCGCCCGUUUAUGGUAUAUCGUACGACGCGUUGGCGCAUUUUCCUUUCGCCCUUACAUCUCGUUUUUGUUUCAAAGUGGCAAACAAGUUUUCCCAUAUCUUUCCAUCGAAUUCCUAAGACUCUUGUUUUCUCCACAUCCAAAAUGAAAUAAGCUGUAGCCUAACCAGCAGCGCAUAAGACGCUUGUUUUAUACCUCUUUUUGUUUUGUUACUUAGCUUUUUGCGUCUAUUGUAUGCUGGCCAGGUGUUUGUUUUGCAAGCGAGCGUGGGUCGAUAUUUUAGAACGGGAAGGGUCCCUUUUUUUUUUUAAAUAAAAAUUGCGUUAAUUGUGUUUCGACCCACUGGAUUAGUCAUGCGCAAUUCUUAAAGGAAUUCAUUGUAAUCUUCAGAGGCCAAAAUAACCGUGUCUCCCCCCCCUUAAAAGCCGAAAAAAUUCUUCUUUAAGAAGCUGAUUAGCAUCUUUAUUUCAUCAUUUAAGCCAUGGCAGGUAACUGUAAAACACGUGAGUGGU